UUAUGUGUCACUUAUAACAACUAAAUGACUAUGCAAUCUUAUAUUUUACUAAUAACAUUCUUGACCAUUUACAAUAUUAUAUUAUACUUAUUACUGAAGUGUUAUUUCUCCUUAUAUCAGAACACAAGCAUGCGAGCAGUUGCAGGUUGCACCCAAUUGUAUCUUGCAGCUGCCUGUGGAAGAUAAAGAAGUUACUCCCAUAACAAUGAAUGCUGUUGUUGUGUAUUGGUUCCCUGCCUAAUAGAUUUCAACUGGUUUGUUCCCCUUCCCUCAGCAGUUGAAAUCCUGUGUAACUAGGGCGUUCCAAUUUUCAAUAAAAAGCCUGGCGAGCGGAGACUGCUUCAGAGUGGUUUGGAGGAUUGUAAACUGAGCAGUCUCCGAGCCCUCUCCUUGCAAGAUAAACAUAACUGAUUCUCUGUGUCUUCUUUGUGCAGGUUGCUGAAUAAGAUGUUUGGUGUUUAAACCUAACAUUAAAUGGUCCUUCGAGCCGGAGUUCAACAUACCUAACGAUCCCAGCAGGUAAAGUGAGGUUCCAGCAAGUUUGUGGCCACAGCACUAAGACCCUUUCCGGGACUGGUCCCUCCUUUACGGGCUGGGAUCCGAAGGUUGAAGAAUUCCAGAGACACAGAGAAUUGAAAACCAGUUAGUUGAACCAGGGGACUGGGUUCUGAUAAAAAGCAUAAAGAAGAAACAUUGGCAUUCACCUAAGUGGGAAGGACCUUUCCAGGUUUUGCUGACCACUGGAACUGCUGUAAAGAUUGCAGAGCGGAGCACGUGGAUUCACUUAACACAUUGCAAAAGAAUCAUUAAACAUGACUAAGGUCACAAUUUCCAUUAUUGCAUUCAAUUUGACUGUAUUAGUCUGCCUCCUAGUGAUCGCUUUGUGGUAUCUGUUGUAGUAUUGUAAUUCUUCAACGAGCCUCAGAGUAAGUCCGUUGUACAAAGGGGGUUGUAUUUCUAGUAUACAAUCGUCUCAAAUCGGUGAAGAUUGUCCACACCUCUGCCGAGGGGUCUUUAGGAAGGAUUUCAAUCUGCAAACAGAAUGCUAACUGAAAAAGGGAAAAGACUUGUGUGGUUGGGGAUAGCCAUCCUAACCGUGGCAGCAGUAUUUAUAUGGCUAUGGGAAGCUCAAAUUCUUCAUGGAACUAAAAGAGCCAGAGAACCAAGAAGAGUGGGCCACUACAAUCCUAAACCUUCCCAAAUUAUGAAACUAUUACAAAAUCCAUGUAAAGAGUCGAAAGAUGGCAAAAGAACUGAAGGGCUAUAUUUUUGUUAUCAGAAUAAUAAGCUCCGGACUGUGAUUAGUUUUAAUAAAGACCAAUUCAAGAUAGGAGGUUACAAAGCUUCUGAUUGGAAAGGUUACAAAUGGUAUUUAGAUGGCACAGGAAUGAAACAGACAGGGCACAAUUGGGAAAAUGUGUUUGAGACAACAGAUCAUACGUGGAGACAAAACACAUACGGUACGAGUAACAUUGCCAGACAGUGGAAAGGAAAGGUGAAACUAACUGAUGCCAGUAAUACUAUUUUCCUGACGAUAAAUACCACCCAUAAACCUUUUGGAAAACCAGCCAGUUUCAGAAAAUUUAAAGAUCCUCCCUGUCAUGGUUUAGCCCUGUGUAUUUGGCGCCCUCACCAGACAGAUCCGUGCAUUACCUUGUUUUUCUGCCCAAACCUGACAACAAUAAUGAUGCCUGAAGUUACUUUAGGACAAAAAACUGUCUCUCCAAUAACUCCACACAUAUAUGUAGAUCCUACUGCAGAUGAUUGGUUCAAAAUUACCACAGGAAUGUCCGGAAAAAGCAAUAAUUGGCUUUUAAUGGUGGAACAAGCUGCUCAUACUGUAUCCACAGGUUGUUUAGUUUGUAUGGGUCCCAGACCCUUGCUACAGGUUGUACCAGCAACAAUGACUCCUGAAUGUCUGACUGAAAUAAUGAAUAACACAGUGCCUUCUGGAAACUGUACAUUCUGGGACACUAUUUACCCUCUAACUACUGAAGAUAAAGGAAAACCGCUGUUUUCAAAACAUGUGGCUCCAGGUAACUUCACAUGUGUAAAUAGAACUGGAUCAGGCAAAAAAUUAGGAAAGUUAAAUGAGACCCAGUGUACAGAAAUACUUUCAGUAAACAUAACUUUCAAACCUGUAGCACGUAGUGACAUCUGGUGGUGGUGUGGUGAUAAUAGAUUAUUUGACAAACUCCUUUAUAACACCAUUGGCCUUUGUGCAUCUGUGACAUUGAUUUUGCCAGUUUCUAUAACUCCACUUACAGUACGGGAAUUAUUGACCGCGGUGAAAAGUGUUUUUCCACACGCUUGGCAAAAAAGAAACAAGAGAGCAGUACAAGGUUGGAGUGAGGACGAUCCAACUUAUAUUGAUAGCAUAGGAGUUCCCCGCGGAGUUCCAGAUGAGUACAAAAUCGUAAAUCAGAUUGCAGCAGGAUUUGAAUCUUUUAUUUGUUGGUGGUGCACUAUAAAUAAAAACGUAGACAGAAUCAACUACAUCCAUUAUAACGUUCAGAGAUUAGAUAAUAAAACAGAACAAGGUUUUGCAGCCAUCCAUGAACAACUGUCAGCUACCUCUAUAAUGGCUUUCCAGAACAGAAUUGCUGUUGAUAUGCUCCUAGCAGAAAAAGGAGGUGUCUGUGCCAUCUUUGGAGAACAGUGUUGUAGCUUUAUUCCAAAUAACACUGCGGCAGAUGGCAGUUUGACAAAGGCCCUAGAAGGCCUCCGUUCCUUAAACAGCAAAAUGAAAGACCAUUCUGGAGUUGAUACAUCUAUGUGGGAUGGCUUUGGAGAAGUGUUUGGAAAAUACAAACAGCUAGUGGUAUCAAUUUUAAUGUCUAUUGCUGUGUUUGCAGCUAUUCUGACCUUAUGUGGAUGUUGCUGUAUUCCGUUUAUAAGAGCAUUGUGCACUAGAGUGAUAACAACAGCCAUACAGCCCGUAAAAGAGGAAAUGUAUGCGCUGCUUGCAACUGAAAAAUCACCAGCUGAUUCUGAAAAUGAAGACGAAGAGACAUCUCUUAAUUUUCCAGACCUGUAUCCUGAUCCCGACGACUGUGACGACCUCUGGGUGUAACCUUUAAGUUGUGAAUGAAUUUAUGGUUGAAAAUCUGACAAGAAGAGACCAAUAAAGGAUGAAACAUAGCUUAAAGUGAAUAAACAGGAGGGUAAUGUUGGAUUUAUUAUAGUUAUUCUACUUUUAAUCUAUAUUCUAGUUAUAUUAUGUUUCACUUAUAACAACUAAAUGACUAUGCAAUCUUAUAUUUUACUAAUAACAUUCUUGACCAUUUACAAUAUUAUAUUAUACUUAUUACUGAAGUGUUAUUUCUCCUUAUAUCAGAACACAAGCAUGCGAGCAGUUGCAGGUUGCACCCAAUUGUAUCUUGCAGCUGCCUGUGGAAGAUAAAGAAGUUACUCCCAUAACAAUGAAUGCUGUUGUUGUGUAUUGGUUCCCUGCCUAAUAGAUUUCAACUGGUUUGUUCCCCUUCCCUCAGCAGUUGAAAUCCUGUGUAACUAGGGCGUUCCAAUUUUCAAUAAAAAGCCUGGCGAGCGGA